CACUUACCCACCUGUCUGUCUUGUUUCUGCAGGGCAGGUAUUGAUGAGGUGGAGACAGAUGUGGUGGAGAUCGAAGCUAAACUAGAUAAGCUAGUGAAGUUAUGUAGUGGGAUGAUCGAGGCUGGCAGGGCGUAUGUCAGUGCCAACAAGCUGUUUGUGAACGGCAUCAAAGACCUGUCUCAGCAGUGCAAGAAGGAGGAGAUGAUCUCUGAGUGUCUGGAGAAGUGUGGUGGGAGUCUGCAGGAGAUCGUCAACUACCACAUG